GUGCUUGCUUCAGCAGCACAUACACUAAAACUGGAACAAUACAGAGAAGAUUGGCAUGGUCCCUGCACAAGUAUGACAUGCAAAUUCAUGAAACGUUCCACAAAACA